AGGGAGGAUGGCUGCCUCUGCUUAGGCAAGAAACAGCAGAGAACUGAGAAGAAGACGGUUUAUAUAGGAUUUCUUGGGGAGGAACUUUCCAGACUGCUGUCUCUAGACUGAAGGCUGUGUGAAGCUUUGCUGAGUGCGUGCUCAAAGCAGAAGUCUCUGCACAAAUUCUCUGGUCUCUAAUUCCACAACCAAGCCAGAUACAGUGUUAAAUGAAUAUGAAUACAUUUGGGGGACAGUGAGAUGACUCAGAUGAUGAGGCCCUUGCUGUCACGCCUGAAGUCUUGAGUUGCAUCCCUGGAGCCUACACCACGGAUGGCAAGAACUGACUUCUGCCUGCCAUCCUCCUCCAUGCCCGCUCCCACACGUAUGCACACACACA